rnacentral:tRNA from 1 species
ACCUUUCCAUGGAUAGCUCAGUUGUUUAGAGCAUGGUGCUGAUGAUGCCAAGGUUGUAGGUUCGAUCCCCGUAUGGGGUA